rnacentral:rRNA from 1 species
AAAAAAAAAAACACGUGGAUAACCUACCUAUAAGACUGGGAUAACUUCGGGAAACAGGAGCUAAUACCGGAUAAUAUAUUUACCCGCAUGGUUCAAUAGUGAAAGACGGUUUUGCUGUCACUUAUAGAUGGAUCCUAGCCGCAUGAGCUAGUUGGUACGGGAACGGCUUACCAAGAGUACGAUGGGUAGCCGACCUGAGAGGGGAUGCGCCUAAACGGGAACUGACACACGGCCCACACUCCUACGGGAGGCAGAAGUCGGGAAUCGUCCGCAAUGGGCGAAAGCCUGACGGAGAAACGCCGCGUGAGUCAUCAAGGUCUUUUUUUUUUUUAAUGCUGCGGCU